AUCAACUUCAGUAACCACAGGUUUGACUUUUACUGAUUCUGUCAGAUCAACUUCAGUAACCAGGGGUUCUUUUACUGUUUUUGUAAUUUCAACUUCUGUAGCCACAGCUUCUUCUUUUACUGUCUCUGUAGGAUCAACUUCAGUAACUAUAGGUUCGUCUUUUACCGUUUCUGUUGCCUCGAAUUCAGUAGCUGCAGGUUCAUCUUUUACCAUUUCUGUAGGCUCAACUACAGUUGUCACAGGUUCUUCUUUUACGGUUUCUGUAGCUUCAACUUCAGUAGCCACAGAUUCUUCUUUUACUGUUUCUGUAGCUUCAACUUCAGUAGCCACUGGUUCUUCUUUUACUGUUUCUGUAGCUUCAACUUCAGUAGCCACUGGUUCUUCUUUUACUGUUUCUGUAGCUUCAACUUCAGUAGCUGCAGGUUCGUCUUUUACCGUUUCUGUAGCCUCAACUUCAGUUGCCACAGGUUCUUCUUUUACCGUUUCUGUAGGCUCAACUUCAGUAGCCACGGGUUCUUCUUUUACUGUUUCUGUAGCUUCAGCUUCAGUAGCUAGAGGUUCUUCUUUUACCGUUUCUGUAGGAUCAACUUCAGUAACCACAGGUUCGUCUUUUACGGUUUCUGUAACCUUAACUUCAGUAGCUGCAG
rnacentral:lncRNA from 1 species